UCUCUGUCUCCGAGUUUUUGACUGUAUAUGAAACAAUAGAUAAGUAUGGUUAUGUUCAAACAAAAAGAAAAAAAGAAAUUGAAGUUUAACUGCGUCUGACACAUUUGCUGCUAGUUUUGUUGUUUGCAGAGGUUUAUACAAUGUUAGUUAUGUACUUUGGAUUUUUAAUUUUUUUCCAGUGUUUUCUGGUGUGACCUUUUGGUAAAAAUCUUAUCUUUUUAUGUCUGUCAUCAGAUUGAAGUGUUUUUUCCUUUUCCUUUAAUUGUUGGGGGAAGGGGUGAUUUGUUCUUUGAUUUUAUUGAUGUAGUAUUACUUUGUGGUAACACCUUGGCGUUGAUCAGCUUUCAGAAAUUUGUUUUGCCAGGUGCCACUUUGAGCUUAACAUUACGAACACCAGGGAUACAAUUACCGCAACAGUGUCAGAAACGGUGGCACAGACAAUGUUAUCCCUAACUAGCAAUCAAAUAUAUGAAAAUGUUGCUACUCAGGUACAUAACUGUAUACUACUACAACCAAACAAGACUCAUCUUCUUUGUAUCCUAUUAUAGCAAUAAACAUCUUCGUUGAAUCCUAUUAUAACAGUAAACAAAAAUGCUCCAUUACGUAACCUCCUACUCACUGCGCCAUCUUUUCUCCUUUGUAUUCAGAGAGAACCGUUGUCUAUUGUCCGUACAAAUCAACAGUUUGUUCAUAGACUGUUUAGACUUCAGCUACAAAAGCUGAGCUACAGAUUCCCCAACCAAACACCUUGUAUGUUGGCUGUUACAUCCUUCACUGAAGCAGAAAACCCGGUUGUUCAAACAUUAUCAUCACCAAUGGCUCCCGGAGAAACAGGUAAGAAGCAAAAAGUCGAACCGCGCACUCUAGCAAAAAAGGCUUAAAGGUAAGAAUACUUUUAAUAGUUUGUUCUCUAUUGUAUCGUACCUCCAUUUUAACUUCUUCCUUGGAACAUUUGCAUUAGGUGACGUGAAAAGAAACAUGCUGCUAAAACGGCCACAUAGGUUGCAACUUAAGAUGACUCUGGACUAAUACAAAAGACUACAUAUAGGAAAAAUCGUUGUUUGGUUGUUGUAGUAAUCUGAAUAGGAAAAAUGGACUUUUUACUUUCUCUGGCAUAGAGUAGACCAAAAUUCCUUUUGGACUUUGCCUAAAUUUGGUUAUGACCAUUUUGUAUCUGUGCAAAUUACCCUGUUGUUCUAUUAAUAGUCAACUUUUUCUGAAACAUCUGACCGAGUUACUUGUGAUGGUCAUUAAUGACAUGGUACAAAUAUUGGUUCAUCGAAGAUGAUCAAUUUGCUCAUCGUUUCCAACAACUGCUUCGAGUUUGAUACUCGGGAAAAAUUUGUUUCCGCUAUGUUUUAUCCCUAACAUUUAUAGCAUGUCAACCACAAUAGGCCGGUAAAUAUAAUACUCAUGCUUCCUUCAUUGAUUCUUUGUACUCACUACAAUCAAAAUUAAUUUGUCUCCCUCUUUUGUAGCCUCUCCAUCUGGACAGGUAAAUAGAACAAUCCUACACCCUUUCAUUACUGCCUCCCUUUACUACAUCACCGUACUAGAAAAAUAGAACACUGUAUUUUCCUUCGCCUGCUUAAAUUAUCUCUACAG
rnacentral:lncRNA from 1 species